rnacentral:rRNA from 1 species
UACGUAGGUGGCAAGCGUUAUCCGGAUUUACUGGGUGUAAAGGGCGUGUAGGCGGGACUGCAAGUCAGAUGUGAAAACCACGGGCUCAACCUGUGGCCUGCAUUUGAAACUGUAGUUCUUGAGUGAUGGAGAGGCAGGCGGAAUUCCGUGUGUAGCGGUGAAAUGCGUAGAUAUACGGAGGAACACCAGUGGCGAAGGCGGCCUGCUGGACAUUAACUGACGCUGAGGCGCGAAAGCGUGGGGAGCAAACAGG